ACAGAGGGGGCAAGCGUUGCUCGGAAUUACUGGGCGUAAAGGGCGCGUAGGCGGGAUGGCAAGUCGGUCGUGAAAUCCCUCGGCUCAACCGAGGAACGUCGAUCGAUACUGCUGUUCUUGAGGAUUGCAGAGGAGACUGGAAUUCUCGGUGUAGCGGUGAAAUGCGUAGAUAUCGAGAGGAACACCUGCGGCGAAGGCGGGUUGCUGGGCUGACACUGACGCUGAUGCGCGAAAGCCAGGGGAGCGAACGGGA
rnacentral:rRNA from 1 species